rnacentral:rRNA from 2 species
UGGGGAAUAUUGGACAAUGGGCGAAAGCCUGAUCCAGCAAUGCCGCGUGUGUGAAGAAGGCCUUCGGGUUGUAAAGCACUUUCAGUGGGGAAGAAAAGCAGAGGGCCAAUACCUCUCUGUGCUGACGUUACCCACAGAAGAAGCACCGGCUAACUCCGUGCCAGCAGCCGCGGUAAUACGGAGGGUGCGAGCGUUAAUCAGAAUUACUGGGCGUAAAGGGCGAGUAGGUGGUUCGGUCAGUCGGAUGUGAAAUCCCCGGGCUCAACUUGGGAAUUGCAUUCGAUACUGCCGAGCUUGAGUGUGGUAGAGGGAAGCGGAAUUCCGGGUGUAGCGGUGAAAUGCGUAGAUAUCCGGAGGAACACCAGUGGCGAAGGCGGCUUCCUGGACCAACACUGACACUGAGUCGCGAAAGCGUGGGGAGCAAACAGG